rnacentral:rRNA from 1 species
UACGUAUGGUGCAAGCGUUAUCCGGAUUUACUGGGUGUAAAGGGAGCGUAGGCGGUGCGUUAAGUCUGAUGUGAAAACCCGAGGCUCAACCACGGGAGUGCAUUGGAAACUGGCGGGCUGGAGUGCCGGAGAGGUAAGCGGAAUUCCUAGUGUAGCGGUGAAAUGCGUAGAUAUUAGGAGGAACACCAGUGGCGAAGGCGGCUUACUGGACGGCAACUGACGCUGAGGCUCGAAAGCGUGGGGAGCAAACAGG